rnacentral:piRNA from 1 species
UAAACAUCUGUGUCUGCAGUUUCAGGU